rnacentral:rRNA from 1 species
AGGAGAAAGCUUGCUUUCUUGCUGACGAGUGGCGGACGGGUGAGUAAUGCUUGGGAAUCUGGCUUAUGGAGGGGGAUAACGACGGGAAACUGUCGCUAAUACCGCGUAGUGUCGAGAGACGAAAGUGCGGGACUGAGAGGCCGCAUGCCAUAGGAUGAGCCCAAGUGGGAUUAGGUAGUUGGUGGGGUAAAGGCCUACCAAGCCUGCGAUCUCUAGCUGGUCUGAGAGGAUGACCCAGCCACACUGGAACUGAGACACGGUCCAGACUCCUACGGGAGGCAGCAGUGGGGAAUAUUGCGCAAUGGGGGGAACCCUGACGCAGCCAUGCCGCGUGAAUGAAGAAGGCCUUCGGGUUGUAAAGUUCUUUCGGUAUUGAGGAAGGUUGAUGUGUUAAUAGCACAUCAAAUUGACGUUAAAUACAGAAGAAGCACCGGCUAACUCCGUGCCAGCAGCCGCGGUAAUACGGAGGGUGCGAGCGUUAGUCGGAAUAACUGGGCGUAAAGGGCACGCAGGCGGUUAUUUAAGUGAGGUGUGAAAGCCCCGGGCUUAACCUGGGAAUUGCAUUUCAGACUGGGUAACUAGAGUACUUUAGGGAGGGGUAGAAUUCCACGUGUAGCGGUGAAAUGCGUAGAGAUGUGGAGGAAUACCGAAGGCGAAGGCAGCCCCUUGGGAAUGUACUGACGCUCAUGUGCGAAAGCGUGGGGAGCAAACAGGAUUAGAUANCCUGGUAGUCCACGCUGUAAACGCUGUCGAUUUGGGGGUUGGGGUUUAACUCUGGCG